UGUAUUUCAAUGUAAAGUAAAAAUUAAAUGAAAGCUGGAAACUGAAACCUAAAAUUGUGGUAAAGUAUCAUUUUUAAGAUACUAUUAUGCCAAGCCUAAAAAUACUGUAUUAGUCAUAGAGACAAUUCUGGUAUUGGUGGAGCACAUGGUGUGUUUGGGAGACUGCUGGUUCAACAUAAAUAAAUAUUGUCAGGGAGCUGGAGGUCUGUGAGCUAUGGGUUUACUAGCUUAUGGUGAUAUAGCAUCUACAUAAUCUCAGAUUACAGCGCGCACACCACAACUGCCAUCUCAACUGUGUGUCUUUAUUCUGACUUUGUACCAAAAAUCUUUUUUGCCUCAUUAUGAAGUCUAGAAAGUCGUGGAUUUAAUCCUAUUUGAAUGCUUCAUGCUUUGCUGCAUCUUUACUGAUGCUUAGAUGGGUCCUCUCUUUGGCCAGUGGGAACUCCUAACAGGGAGUAGGAGAAGUUCACCUAAGCAAGCAAAGACUUUGGUCUUGGCUUGAGCUAAGCUAAGAAUAUAUCUACGUGUUAGAGCAUCUCCAAUCUGAUGCAGGCAAGAAACACAGGGAUCCUGGAACCUGGCAACUGGGGAACUGGAAGUUACUAAGGUUUUACUUUCUUACUUCAUGUCUAGAGGCUUCAGAAAGAGGUGUAUGUUGUGUUGGGGGGGGGGCGGCUUUCACCUUCAGAUAUCUGUAUUAUCCUAAUGAAUGCAUUAAAUUUUGUUUUGAUGAUGAAAUGUAAAUAUUGUUUU
rnacentral:lncRNA from 1 species